rnacentral:misc_RNA from 1 species
AGAAGAAGAAGAAGAAAAUGUUGGAUCUCAAGAUGGAUCAAAAGCCCUAAUUGAUGAGAUGACAAUUAAUAACCAUCAAUCAUCACACAUUGAUCAAAAGCCAAAUCUUGUAAGAAUUGAGUCUGAAUGCAUAUCUUCCAUCAUAAAUCAUCACCCUCAUGAUAAAAAUGAUCAAAACUAUGGAGUUAUUAGAGGUGGAGAUCAAUCGUUUGGCGCGAUUGAGCUAGAUUUUUCAACAAAUAUUGCUUAUGCUACUAAUGGUAGUGAUCAUCACCAUCAUCAUCAUGGUGGUGGUGGUG